rnacentral:rRNA from 1 species
GACGAACGCUGGCGGCGUGCUUAACACAUGCAAGUCGAACGGAAAGGCCCCUUUGGGGGUACUCGAGUGGCGAACGGGUGAGUAACACGUGAGUAACCUGCCCUUGACUUCGGGAUAACUUCAGGAAACUGGGGCUAAUACCGGAUAGGAAUCCUUGCUGCAUGGUGGGGGUUGGAAAGCUUCGGCGGUUUUGGAUGGACUCGCGGCUUAUCAGCUUGUUGGUGGGGUAGUGGCUUACCAAGGCUUUGACGGGUAGCCGGCCUGAGAGGGCGAGCGGCCACAUUGGGACUGAGAUACGGCCCAGACUCCUACGGGAGGCAGCAGUGGGGAAUCUUGCACAAUGGGCGGCAGCCUGAUGCAGCAACGCCGCGUGCGGGAUGACGGCCUUCGGGUUGUAAACCGCUUUCAGCAGGGGCGAAGCUUGUGGUGACGGUACCUGCAGAAGAAGCACCGGCUAACUACGUG